UACGUAGGUGGCGAGCGUUGUCCGGAUUUAUUGGGCGUAAAGCGCGCGCAGGUGGUGCGGUAAGUCUGUCGUGAAAUCUCCUGGCUCAACUGGGAGGGUGCGGUGGAGACUGCCGGACUGGAGGCACUCAGAGGCCGGUGGAAUUCCCGGUGUAGUGGUGAAAUGCGUAGAGAUCGGGAGGAACACCAGUGGCGAAGCGGCCGGCUGGGGGUGACCUGACGCUGAGGCGCGAAAGCGUGGGGAGCGAACCGG
rnacentral:rRNA from 1 species